CCCACAUGCUGCCGAGAACGGGGAAAGAACCCGGGUCGCCUAGGUGAGAAUCGCGUGCACUGACUACUGCGUUUACCGGAUUGUCGGAUUUAAGACCACGAUGGGAGUUUAUAAUGAAAGGAAACGGAAAGGCUUGGUCCUAGCUUCACGGAAGAUUCACGAAAAUUAAGUGACAUUGCACUGACGGACAUGCAUGAAACGUUUAAGUAUGAAGCUUCAGUGGUGUUCUGAUAUCAAAAUUUUAGAAACAUCUUCAUUAUGACAAAACGUGAUGCAGCAUACCCCAAUCCGACUGUCGAUAUGUCUACAAACCCUACAUAUGUAGCAAAUCCAUUAGGACGCCGCCCAGAAGUAGUUUGUAAUUGCCGGGAAAAUAUAAAUAUUCAAUGCAUAGUUCCAAAGGAUCAUUAUUUUGACACCCAAGCCCGAGCCAGAUUAUUAAAGAAAGAAACAAUAUAUAAACCGAGUUCAUCGAGCACUGUGAGGGAUGAGCAACCCAUACAAGCACAAUACGGAUACAAAAUUAACGAGGCAAACAUUUUGAAUUCUAAACGCUUUGUUAUAUAUUCUGUUGUUGAUCGUGACUUUGACAGCAAUGCCUAAGUGCUGAGCAAAUAAAAAGUUGGAAAGUAAUAACUGAUAUACAUGUACUGAGCAUUGUAUGUCGCGCAUAAUUCAUCAAAUAGAAGACUGUUAUUCACUUCAGAAU